rnacentral:sRNA from 1 species
AAUUGUGACAGGUCUUGGCCACGAUGCGUCCAUUGCACACACAGAGACUUUUGCUCCGAUUCUCUAUGUCUUUAAAUUCAAGAAUGAAGAAGAGGUCUUUGCAUGGAAUAAUGAAGUAAAACAGGGACUUUCAAGUAGCAUCUUUACCAAAGAUCUGGGCAGAAUCUUUCGCUGGCUUGGGUACAACUUUGUCUAUUUUGAAAAUUUAUAUAAGUCUGAUUUAUGUGGUGAGUGGACUUAAAAAAACUGCUGUAGUCUAAAAUCAAUUUUUCAGUAUUGAAAGCCUUUGAGCUUUGGUUUAGAUUUUUUAUUUUUGUUUGUUUUUAAUUUCCUGUUCAUUGCUCUCACCAUGCCUCCCUUUUUACACAGACCUAAAGGAUCAGACUGUGGCAUUGUAAAUGUCAACAUUCCAACAAGUGGGGCUGAGAUUGGAGGUGCCUUUGGUACGUAGAGAAUCAUUUCUCCUUUUCCAUAUUGGGC